rnacentral:rRNA from 1 species
AGACUGGCGGCAAGCCUACACAUGCAAGUCGCAGCGGUUGACGGGAGCUUGCUCCCUGAUUCAGCGGCGGACGGGUGAGUAAUGCCUAGGAAUCUGCCUAUUAGUGGGGGACAACGUUUCGAAAGGAACGCUAAUACCGCAUACGUCCUACGGGAGAAAGCAGGGGACCUUCGGGCCUUGCGCUAAUAGAUGAGCCUAGGUCGGAUUAGCUAGUUGGUGGGGUAAUGGCUCACCAAGGCGACGAUCCGUAACUGGUCUGAGAGGAUGAUCAGUCACACUGGAACUGAGACACGGUCCAGACUCCUACGGGAGGCAGCAGUGGGGAAUAUUGGACAAUGGGCGAAAGCCUGAUCCAGCCAUGCCGCGUGUGUGAAGAAGGUCUUCGGAUUGUAAAGCACUUUAAGUUGGGAGGAAGGGCAGUAAAUUAAUACUUUGCUGUUUUGACGUUACCGACAGAAUAAGCACCGGCUAACUCUGUGCCAGCAGCCGCGGUAAUACAGAGGGUGCAAGCGUUAAUCGGAAUUACUGGGCGUAAAGCGCGCGUAGGUGGUUUGUUAAGUUGGAUGUGAAAGCCCCGGGCUCAACCUGGGAACUGCAUC